GCACUGAUGAUGAGACCUGACCAGGUCGAAACAGCUGUCCAGUGC
rfam:Echinostoma caproni strain Egypt genome assembly, scaffold: ECPE_scaffold0007408